rnacentral:lncRNA from 1 species
GUACCAUAUCUCUCUGGGUUGCAAGUCAAGGUUUACAAAUAUACAAAUUGAAAUAUUUCAACAUGAGAGAAGAGAGCCUGGAAGAAGUUGCCAGCCCUGUCACUUCCCUGAACGGCAAAUGUGGUCUCUCACUUCCUUAAUCCACAUUCAUUCCUGGGGCCCUCUUGUCUCUUAUAUCACUGUCCGUGCAGUUGGAAUAGGAGAAUAGUGGCUGGAGUCCCUGGUGAGAGAGAUGACUGUGUUCUGCGGUACAACAGAAUAUUACUAGGGCUGAUGAAGUGGUCUUUUGAUAAGGUCUUGCCUCUGAUCACACUAACUCUGACUUCAAGCCAGCAGCAGUCAUGAUAUGCCUAGAGGAUGGAAUCUUGCCAACAAUUUCACUGAUGGGGUUGCAUCGCACCAUCUUUCUAAACCCGUCAGUGUGAACAAUGGAAAAUACAUAUUUCGCUAUGCCAGGAAUCAACAAUGCUUAAAACCUAUUAUGAAGUUUUCAAGGUGUUCAAGAUGGAGGCAUGAUUACACAACUAGCCAAGUGCAUAGCCCAAUAAAG